AGAUUUGGAACUUAAUGGGACUCGGCAGAAACCUAUCGGUUAUACUUUUUGGAUAUGCUAUACCCGUAUAAGUUUCUGCUGAGCCCCUUAUUCCUGU
rnacentral:pre_miRNA from 15 species